rnacentral:rRNA from 1 species
GACAGAGGGGGCAAGCGUUGCUCGGAAUUACUGGGCGUAAAGCGCGUGUAGGCGGAUGAGCAAGUCUGCUGUGAAAGCUCCUGGCUUAACCGGGAGUGGUCGGUGGAAACUGCUCGUCUGGAGGACGGUAGAGGUAGGUAGAAUUCCCGGUGUAGUGGUGAAAUGCGUAGAGAUCGGGAGGAAUACCUGUGGCGAAGGCGGCCUACUGGGCCGGACCUGACGCUGAGACGCGAAGGCGUGGGGAGCGAACGGG